rnacentral:tRNA from 1 species
GGUUUUAUAUUCAAUCAUGAUUCUAGACUGCAAUUCUAGAGGUGUAAAGUUAUUACUAAGGCCU